UAAGACGAACCGUACAAACGUUAUUCGGAAUCACUGGGCUUAAAGAGUGCGUAGGCGGCCUAGCAGGUUGGGUGUGAAAUCCCUCGGCUCAACCGAGGAACUGCGCUCAAAACCGCUAGGCUUGAGGGAGAUAGAGGUGAGCGGAACUGAUGGUGGAGCGGUGAAAUGCGUUGAUAUCAUCAGGAACACCUGUGGCGAAAGCGGCUCACUGGGUCUCGUCUGACGCUGAGGCACGAAAGCUAGGGUAGCGAACAGGAUUAGAUACCCUGGUAGUCCUAGCUGUAAACGAUGAGCACUGGAUCGAGGGGGCUUCCACACCUUCUUGGUCGUAGCGAAAGUGUUAAGUGCUCCGCCUGGGGAGUAUGGUCGCAAGGCUG
rnacentral:rRNA from 1 species